UACGAAGGGGGCUAGCGUUGUUCGGAAUUACUGGGCGUAAAGGGCGCGUAGGCUGUGCUGUAAGUCAGGCGUGAAAGCCCCGGGCUCAACCUGGGAAUUGCGCUUGAUACUGCGGCGCUGGAAGGUGGGAGAGGAUGGCGGAAUUCCCAGUGUAGAGGUGAAAUUCGUAGAUAUUGGGAAGAACACCGGUGGCGAAGGCGGCGAGCUGGUCCAUUACUGACGCUGAGGCGCGACAGCGUGGGGAGCAAACAGG
rnacentral:rRNA from 1 species